GGAACUGAGACACGGUCCAGACUCCUACGGGAGGCAGCAGUGGGGAAUAUUGCACAAUGGGCGAAAGCCUGAUGCAGCAACGCCGCGUGAGCGAUGAAGGCCUUCGGGUCGUAAAGCUCUGUCCUCAAGGAAGAUAAUGACGGUACUUGAGGAGGAAGCCCCGGCUAACUACGUGCCAGCAGCCGCGGUAAUACGUAGGGGGCUAGCGUUAUC
rnacentral:rRNA from 1 species